AUGCGUUGUUGGGUAGGGGAGCGUUCUGUAAGCCUGUGAAGGUGUGCUGUGAGGCAUGCUGGAGGUAUCAGAAGUGCGAAUGCUGACAUAAGUAACGAUAAAGCGGGUGAAAAGCCCGCUCGCCGGAAGACCAAGGGUUCCUGUCCAACGUUAAUCGGGGCAGGGUGAGUCGACCCCUAAGGCGAGGCCGAAAGGCGUAGUCGAUGGGAAACAGGUUAAUAUUCCUGUACUUGGUGUUACUGCGAAGGGGGGACGGAGAAGGCUAUGUUGGCCGGGCGACGGUUGUCCCGGUUUAAGCGUGUAGGCUGGUUUUCCAGGCAAAUCCGGAAAAUCAAGGCUGAGGCGUGAUGACGAGGCACUACGGUGCUGAAGCAACAAAUGCCCUGCUUCCAGGAAAAGCCUCUAAGCAUCAGGUAACAUCAAAUCGUACCCCAAACCGACACAGGUGGUCAGGUAGAGAAUACCAAGGCGCUUGAGAGAACUCGGGUGAAGGAACUAGGCAAAAUGGUGCCGUAACUUCGGGAGAAGGCACGCUGAUAUGUAGGUGAAGUCCCUCGCGGAUGGAGCUGAAAUCAGUCGAAGAUACCAGCUGGCUGCAACUGUUUAUUAAAAACACAGCACUGUGCAAACACGAAAGUGGACGUAUACGGUGUGACGCCUGCCCGGUGCCGGAAGGUUAAUUGAUGGGGUCAGCGCAAGCGAAGCUCUUGAUCGAAGCCCCGGUAAACGGCGGCCGUAACUAUAACGGUCCUAAGGUAGCGAAAUUCCUUGUCGGGUAAGUUCCGACCUGCACGAAUGGCGUAAUGAUGGCCAGGCUGUCUCCACCCGAGACUCAGUGAAAUUGAACUCGCUGUGAAGAUGCAGUGUACCCGCGGCAAGACGGAAAGACCCCGUGAACCUUUACUAUAGCUUGACACUGAACAUUGAGCCUUGAUGUGUAGGAUAGGUGGGAGGCUUGGAAGUGUGGACGCCAGUCUGCAUGGAGCCGACCUUGAAAUACCACCCUUUAAUGUUUGAUGUUCUAACGUUGACCCGUAAUCCGGGUUGCGGACAGUGUCUGGUGGGUAGUUUGACUGGGGCGGUCUCCUCCUAAAGAGUAACGGAGGAGCACGAAGGUUGGCUAAUCCUGGUCGGACAUCAGGAGGUUAGUGCAAUGGCAUAAGCCAGCUUGACUGCGAGCGUGACGGCGCGAGCAGGUGCGAAAGCAGGUCAUAGUGAUCCGGUGGUUCUGAAUGGAAGGGCCAUCGCUCAACGGAUAAAAGGUACUCCGGGGAUAACAGGCUGAUACCGCCCAAGAGUUCAUAUCGACGGCGGUGUUUGGCACCUCGAUGUCGGCUCAUCACAUCCUGGGGCUGAAGUAGGUCCCAAGGGUAUGGCUGUUCGCCAUUUAAAGUGGUACGCGAGCUGGGUUUAGAACGUCGUGAGACAGUUCGGUCCCUAUCUGCCGUGGGCGCUGGAGAACUGAGGGGGGCUGCUCCUAGUACGAGAGGACCGGAGUGGACGCAUCACUGGUGUUCGGGUUGUCAUGCCAAUGGCACUGCCCGGUAGCUAAAUGCGGAAGAGAUAAGUGCUGAAAGCAUCUAAGCACGAAACUUGCCCCGAGAUGAGUUCUCCCUGACUCCUUGAGAGUCCUGAAGGAACGUUGAAGACGACGACGUUGAUAGGCCGGGUGUGUAAGCGCAGCGAUGCGUUGAGCUAACCGGUACUAAUGAACCGUGAG
rnacentral:rRNA from 1 species